UGAACGCUUCAUGCAGGCAGGCCUAACACAUGCAAGUCGAACGGUAACAGGAAGCAGCUUGCUGCUUCGCUGACGAGUGGCGGACGGGUGAGUAAUGUCUGGGAAACUGCCUGAUGGAGGGGGAUAACUACUGGAAACGGUGGCUAAUACCGCAUAACGUCGCAAGACCAAAAGAGGGGGACCUUCGGGCCUCUUGCCAUCAGAUGUGCCCAGAUGGGAUUAGCUUGUUGGUGAGGUAACGGCUCACCAAGGCGACGAUCCCUAGCUGGUCUGAGAGGAUGACCAGCCACACUGGAACUGAGACACGGUCCAGACUCCUACGGGAGGCAGCAGUGGGGAAUAUUGCACAAUGGGCGCAAGCCUGAUGCAGCCAUGCCGCGUGUAUGAAGAAGGCCUUCGGGUUGUAAAGUACUUUCAGCGGGGAGGAAGGUGUUGUGGUUAAUAACCGCAGCAAUUGACGUUACCCGCAGAAGAAGCACCGGCUAACUCCGUGCCAGCAGCCGCGGUAAUACGGAGGGUGCAAGCGUUAAUCGGAAUUACUGGGCGUAAAGCGCACGCAGGCGGUCUGUCAAGUCGGAUGUGAAAUCCCCGGCUCACCUGGGACUGCAUUCGAAACUGCAGGCUGAGUCUGUAGAGGGGGUAGAAUCCAGGUGUAGCGGUGAAAUGCGUAGAGAUCUGGAGGAAUACCNGGUGGCGAAGGCGGCCCCCUGGACAAAGACUG
rnacentral:rRNA from 1 species